UACAGAGGUCCCGAGCGUUGUUCGGAUUCACUGGGCGUAAAGGGUGCGUAGGUGGUGUGGCAAGUUUGAUGUGAAAUCUCCGGGCUUAACCCGGAAAAUGCAUUGAAUACUGCCAGGCUGGAGGGUUGGAGGGGGGACUGGAAUUCUCGGUGUAGCAGUGAAAUGCGUAGAUAUCAAGAGGAACACCAGUGGCGAAGGCGAGUCCCUGGACAACACCUGACACUGAGGCACGAAAGCUAGGGGAGCAAACAGG
rnacentral:rRNA from 1 species